rnacentral:rRNA from 1 species
UACGGAGGGUGCGAGCGUUGCUCGGAAUUAUUGGGCGUAAAGCGUACGCAGGCGGCUCGGCAAGUCGAGUGUGAAAUCCCGGGGCUCAACUCCGGAACUGCAUUCGAUACUGCCGGGCUUGAGUGCGGGAGAGGGAAGCGGAAUUCCUGGUGUAGAGGUGAAAUUCGCAGAUAUCAGGAGGAACACCGGUGGCGAAGGCGGGUCUCUGGGCCGAUACUGACGCUGGAGGAGCGAAAGCGUGGGGAGCGAACAGG